rnacentral:tRNA from 1 species
GCCAAUGUAGCUCAGUGGCAGAGCAACGGUUUCGUAAACCGUAGGUCAUCGGUUCGACCCCGAUCAUUGGCUCCA